rnacentral:rRNA from 1 species
AGCGGCGGACGGGUGAGUAACACGUGGGUAACCUGCCUGUAAGACUGGGAUAACUCCGGGAAACCGGAGCUAAUACCGGAUAGUUCCUUGAACCGCAUGGUUCAAGGAUGAAAGACGGUUUCGGCUGUCACUUACAGAUGGACCCGCGGCGCAUUAGCUAGUUGGUGGGGUAAUGGCUCACCAAGGCGACGAUGCGUAGCCGACCUGAGAGGGUGAUCGGCCACACUGGGACUGAGACACGGCCCAGACUCCUACGGGAGGCAGCAGUAGGGAAUCUUCCGCAAUGGACGAAAGUCUGACGGAGCAACGCCGCGUGAGUGAUGAAGGUUUUCGGAUCGUAAAGCUCUGUUGUUAGGGAAGAACAAGUGCGAGAGUAACUGCUCGCACCUUGACGGUACCUAACCAGAAAGCCACGGCUAACUACGUGCCAGCAGCCGCGGUAAUACGUAGGUGGCAAGCGUUGUCCGGAAUUAUUGGGCGUAAAGGGCUCGCAGGCGGUUUCUUAAGUCUGAUGUGAAAGCCCCCGGCUCAACCGGGGAGGGUC